rnacentral:rRNA from 1 species
UACGGGGGGAGCAAGCGUUGUUCGGAUUUACUGGGCGUAAAGGGCGCGUAGGCGGCGCAACAAGUCACUUGUGAAAUCUCCGGGCUUAACCCGGAGCGGCCAAGUGAUACUGUCGUGCUAGAGUGCGGAAGGGGCUACUGGAAUUCUCGGUGUAGCGGUGAAAUGCGUAGAUAUCGAGAGGAACACCUGCGGCGAAGGCGGGUAGCUGGGCCGACACUGACGCUGAGGCGCGAAAGCCAGGGGAGCGAAUGGG